GGAGGCUUUGAAGUGUGGACGCCAGUCUGCAUGGAGCCGGCCUUGAAAUACCACCCUUUAAUGUUUGAUGUUCUAACGUGGACCCGUGAUCCGGGUUGCGGACAGUGUCUGGUGGGUAGUUUGACUGGGGCGGUCUCCUCCUAAAGAGUAACGGAGGAGCACGAAGGUUGGCUAAUCCUGGUCGGACAUCAGGAGGUUAGUGCAAUGGCAUAAGCCAGCUUGACUGCGAGCGUGACGGCGCGAGCAGGUGCGAAAGCAGGUCAUAGUGAUCCGGUGGUUCUGAAUGGAAGGGCCAUCGCUCAACGGAUAAAAGGUACUCCGGGGAUAACAGGCUGAUACCGCCCAAGAGUUCAUAUCGACGGCGGUGUUUGGCACCUCGAUGUCGGCUCAUCACAUCCUGGGGCUGAAGUAGGUCCCAAGGGUAUGGCUGUUCGCCAUUUAAAGUGGUACGCGAGCUGGGUUUAGAACGUCGUGAGACAGUUCGGUCCCUAUCUGCCGUGGGCGCUGGAGAACUGAGGGGGGCUGCUCCUAGUACGAGAGGACCGGAGUGGACGCAUCACUGGUGUUCGGGUUGUCAUGCCAAUGGCACUGCCCGGUAGCUAAAUGCGGAAGAGAUAAGUGCUGAAAGCAUCUAAGCACGAAACUUGCCCCGAGAUGAGUUCUCCCUGACCCUUUAAGGGUCCUGAAGGAACGUUGAAGACGACGACGUUGAUAGGCCGGGUGUGUAAGCGCAGCGAUGCGUUGAGCUAACCGGUACUAAUGAACCGUGAGGCUUAACCUU
rnacentral:rRNA from 1 species